rnacentral:rRNA from 1 species
GUAGGGUGCGAGCGUUAAUCGGAAUUACUGGGCGUAAAGCGUGCGCAGGCGGCUUUGCAAGACAGAUGUGAAAUCCCCGGGCUCAACCUGGGAACUGCAUUUGUGACUGCAAGGCUAGAGUACGGCAGAGGGGGAUGGAAUUCCGCGUGUAGCAGUGAAAUGCGUAGAUAUGCGGAGGAACACCAAUGGCGAAGGCAAUCCCCUGGGCCUGUACUGACGCUCAUGCACGAAAGCGUGGGGAGCAAAC